rnacentral:lncRNA from 10 species
CCCUCCCGCUCCCCACCACCUGCACAGCCAGGCGGGGGCUCAGAUCCAUUUUUUUUGGAGGAAGAAGCCAGCCUCUGGGAGCAUGAGGAGACAGAGCCGAGGCCAGGAUCCCGGACGUCACCCUAAAGGCCAGAGGCUCCGUCUCCGUCAGCGAGGACCAGAGCCCGCCUCCCCACCCACACCCUCCCCAAAGAGGGCGAAAAUGAAAGAGCUGGCAUCUGCAGAGGCUGGACAAGCUAACAUGGUGGGAAACCACAUCCACGUGAAAACCUGCACAUGGACGCUGACAUCAGCUUUACUCAAAACUGCCAAAACCUGGAAGCAGCCAACAUGUCCUUCAGUCGAGCCUGCACACCAGUGAAACUACAAAGUCAGCUGGUCGGAAGGAUCCCACGGGAGCUGAUUCACCGGAGUGCGGUCUCCACAUCCUGCUGAUUUCAGCCCCCCGGUCCUGACCGAUCAAUGACCCCAAUUUUCCAGCCCCUCACCCUCCAUGAUCCCCUUAAACACCCUGGCCCAGAACUCCUUGGGGGGAUGGAUUUGAGGGUCUCCUCCAUCUCCUUGCUGGGUGCCCUGCAAUCAUUAAACUCUUUCUC